GGGGAAUUUUGGACAAUGGGCGCAAGCCUGAUCCAGCCAUGCCGCGUGCGGGAAGAAGGCCUUCGGGUUGUAAACCGCUUUUGGCAGGAACGAAACGGCGUUAGCUAAUACCUAGCGCUAAUGACGGUACCUGCAGAAUAAGCACCGGCUAACUACGUGCCAGCAGCCGCGGUAAUACGUAGGGUGCAAGCGUUAAUCGGAAUUACUGGGCGUAAAGCGUACGCAGGCGGCUAUACAAGACAGGUGUGAAAUCCCCGGGCUCAACCUGGGAACUGCAUUUGUGACUGUAUGGCUAGAGUCCGUUAGAGGGGGGUGGAAUUCCACGUGUAGCAGUGAAAUGCGUAGAGAUGUGGAGGAACACCGAUGGCGAAGGCAGCCCCCUGGGAUGAGACUGACGCUCAUGUACGAAAGCGUGGGGAGCAAAC
rnacentral:rRNA from 1 species